CCAGCAAACAGUUGGUUGAGUUAGGUCAAGGUCUAGCAGUGAAAGCUUUGGGAAAAAAAUGUCUUCCCUGGAGUUUUUCUGCUAGAUAAGUUAGGCAGUCUCAGAUACGCUUUGGUGA
rnacentral:miRNA from 1 species